CCAGUAUCCGGCAUAUCUUCAAUCUCCAAUGUCCAAUCUUGAAUAUGCACGAGGUCUUCACUCACAGUACAUAUUGUAGCCAUACAGAUGCAACCACUUUUCCAGUGUACCACCUAUUACCAAGAAGGAUUAAAACAGCAAUUAAAAUAAAAAACUAUGCACAUGCUGAGGUCAUAAUUAAAACCUACAAAAAAGGUGAGAAAACUCUG